rnacentral:lncRNA from 1 species
UGUGGCGUGUAUUAAAUAUUUAACUAAAUUAGACAAUUCCUUUACAUUCUUUGUUGACAAUACCUAAACUAAUUUACAAACAGAUGUGUUUGUAUACUAAUACCUUUUUUAUAAACAAUUUUCUUAUAUUGUUAUACUUUUGACAUCAUAAAAUAACAUGAAAUUCAUCCUCAAUAUCACCAGGGUUACAUAAAAUACAUGAUCUUUCAUUUCUUGCUCUUUUUGUGAAUCUACAAUAUUCAGUUUUAGCUUGUGUGAACAAAGUCUAUACUUAGUUCAAAAUCUAAUACAGUGUGGAUAUACGUUUUUUUAUUUUUGUCAAGUAAACUGUAAUUAAAAAUUAUCAACCGGAAUCAACCAUUGCAGUAGCAGUUCAUUUCUAAAUUUCUAAG